rnacentral:tRNA from 1 species
CAGAUGAAUUCAAGGCGAAAUAAUUUUUUACAAUAAUUACUCUAAACUGUUCAAUUCAGUUUCGUCUGA